GAAGGUAUUAGUAUGAAAAAACAAAUAAUUUUUUUAGGAAGAAAAGAAUAAGUUAGCUUUGAUGUAUAUCUGAUCAAGUAAAAGAGGAUCACUUGAAACUUGUUGGAAGCAGUGAGUGUUUUGCUGAGUAUGUCAGGAUGGGCCUGUGCAGUUCUGAGUGGAUUCAACUAUGGCAGAGCAGCUUUUGUGUACUGCCAAUCUCAAAAUGAAAUUCUGGGCAGCAGGUUAGAUACCUGUUAGAUAUUUGUAUGGACAGAACUUGGCAAAAAUAACAACAGUUCUGCUGCGUUCUGCUGCAUCUUUGUGAGUCCACAGCCUUUCAGCAGGGGGCAGGGCUGUUCAGUGACAGUGUCAGGGUUAGGGUCUUGUUGUUUUCUGUUGUACGUUUCUUGGUUUCUUGUGAGUUUCCUGCUUAAGCAGCCUACCUGUACCUAAUGGUUCGAAAGAUUUGGCUGCAGUCAGACUUUGCUGUGAGGCAGGCAGCGUGCUCCGUGCAAAGAGUCUGGCUGGUUUCAGAGGGGUUCUAAAGCAGGCAGCGUGAUUUGUUUGCAGAGAGCUUAAGGUUCCUUUGGAUGGUGAAUUUGUGCUUUUAUAGAGCCAUUCUGACACGUCUUCAAGGUCUGGGUUUUUUUUAUUUUAAUUUUUGAGGGCUCAGUGAUGUUUAUGGAUAAGCUGUUUCAGUAAGGGCUCCGAGUACUCAGCCUGUUUCCCCUGAGUGAACUGUUGCAAAGUACACGUCGGGGUGGCACAUUUCUGUGCUGGGCUCAGGUUAAACGUUGUGCAGUGUCAUAAUACAGCAACGUUUUUGCUCGUGAGGAUGUUAGUGAUUGAACUAUUCAAUACGUGUUUGAAAGCAGUCUUCAGAGCGUGCUGCUGCGUUGGGCACACAGCUGUGCAAAUACGUUGUUCAAACUUGAGAGCUGCAGCGUUAGGGGCUGUGUGAUAACAGCGCCGCGGUGGAUGGCUCCAUCUGUCCUUUUUUUCUUGUGCAGGUUGCUGAAAGAACAGGAGGAGAAGGAAAACAAGAUUGCUUCUCUGAUUGCAGAGCAGUCUGAUGAAAAGCAGCUGUGGGAGAUGGAGCUAGAUAAGCUGAAGAACCAGCACAAUGAAAUCAACAGGAACAUUCUUGAGGAGACAGAGCGGGCCUGGAAAGCAGAGGUUAGUGGAUGACUUCUUACCUGCAAAGCAGUUGAAGCGGGUAUUCCUGAGAUUCUAGGUGACAGACUGAUUGAUGACUGGUUGUGUGAAAUUAGGA
rnacentral:lncRNA from 1 species